UACGUAGGGGGCAAGCGUUGUCCGGAAUCAUUGGGCGUAAAGCGCGCGUAGGUGGCCCGGUAAGUCCGCUCUGAAAGUCAAAGGCUCAACCUUUGAAAGCGGGUGGAUACUGUCGGGCUAGAGUCCGGAAGAGGCGAGUGGAAUUCCUGGUGUAGCGGUGGAAUGCGCAGAUAUCAGGAGGAACACCAACGGCGAAGGCAGCUCGCUGGGACGGUACUGACGCUGAGGAGCGAAAGCGUGGGGAGCAAACAGG
rnacentral:rRNA from 1 species